rnacentral:hammerhead_ribozyme from 1 species
AUCUGUCUGACGAGUCCCAAAUAGAACGAAACGUGCAUCCUGGAA